UACGGGGGGAGCAAGCGUUGUUCGGAUUUACUGGGCGUAAAGGGCGCGUAGGCGGUCAGCACAAGUCAGUUGUGAAAUCUCCGGGCUUAACUCGGAAAGGUCAACUGAUACUGUGCGACUAGAGUGCGGAAGGGGCAACUGGAAUUCUCGGUGUAGCGGUGAAAUGCGUAGAUAUCAGGAGGAACACCGAUGGCGAAGGCAGGUCUCUGGGCCGAUACUGACGCUGAGGAGCGAAAGCGUGGGGAGCGAACAGG
rnacentral:rRNA from 1 species